CUUUCCAAUUUCACUAAACUUUUCUAUUUUUCCCAUCUUUUUCUUUCUCUUUUUUCGCAAAGCCCUAUUCACCUUUUCAAAUAUGCAGACUCAACUUUUCAGAUUGCUUGCAACUAUGGUUUUGCUCCAUUCAAUACAAACCAUAUCUCUCUUUAUUUUCCUUCAAAAAGCCAAACUUUCAUUUCUUCAUUUCUCCUCCUCCCUCACGGCAAGAUCGUUCGAGCGCGUUGCCGACAUAACGACGGUAAGGAUUUAUGGAAGGUGGCGGUUCGAGUUGAGCAUAAAUGGAGUGUCGUUUCCAACAACAAAGAACACUUUGAAAUUAUUUUCAUUGACAAGGAUGGGUGCGAUGUCCAUGUUGUUGUUCCGCCUGCGAACAUGGCUGCAUAUUACGAGAAGUUUGCUUUGGACUUGACCUGCACCGUGUCAAACUUUAAAGUACAUCCAAAUAACUUGGUCUUUAAACCAUCCACACACAAGUAUCCGGUCAAGUUUACUGGAGGAACAUUGGUUUUUGAUGUUAACAAACACGAAAUACAACCCAAGCAACAGAAGUUUACCAGUUUCGCUAAUAUUAUUAUCGGCAAGUUUCGGAAAGAUCUGCUGCUCGAUAAUAUAAUAUUAAUGACUUGCAGCAUGUUACACAUUUUUUUGAAUGUUUCCUUCAUAUUACUUAUGUUGUUCGUUGUUUUGCUUUUUGCAGAUGUUAUUGGUAUGGUCGAGUCUAUUGGAUAUGCCCAGACACAGAGCGGAGGCAAAAAAUUGCAAGUUAAUUUGGUCCUUAGGGAUGAGAGCAACAACACGAUGAAUUGCACCCUGUGGGAGGCCUAUGAUGCUCAAUUCUUUAAGUUUAACUAGGAACGGGGUGAUGCAUCUAAUCUAACCAUUCUGGUUCUUUAAUAUGCAAAAGUUAAAGAAGAGGGACAAUAUCCAUUAUCGGUUACCAACACCUUCAUGUUACGAGGCUCUAUAUCAAUGAGGAUUUUCCGGAAAUCAAAACUUCAUAGACAAUAUCCCUAAUGAUUCUUUGGUUACCGUUUCCAGCCAAUUAAGCUCUCGGUAUUAGCGUUACUCACGCACUUCUAAUUCUGAUACGGGACGACAAACCCCAACCCAAAAAUUGCUUUCAGGCGCUGUUGCCAUAUGAAUUAAUUCAAUUAUUUUUAUAUUUGACUUAAUUUAUUUAGUUUUUAAAUGAAUAAAAUCCAAAUAAAAUAAAUAAAGGUUAAAAAAAUAAAUGAAUGGAUUUAUAGGUCCUUAUUUAGGUCAUAAUCAUUUUUGAAGUCCAAAACUUAGGCCCAUUAGUCAAAAUAUCCAUAAUUUUCCAAAGUUACUUUUAUGCAUUUCUUGAAUUUUGAUCAACUUGUACAAUCCAUAACUUCCUCAACUACGAAAGUGUUCUUGGACUUUUUAGAAACCUCACAAUGUCUACUACAACCUCUUGGUGGUCAUUUGUUCAUUUGGAGCUUCCAUAUUUAUGCAAAUUGCUUUGACAAAAGAUGUGUUUUUGUUGACUUUCAAGAUGACAUGUAAUGUUUUAGCUUAUAUCUUUAAAAUGAAGCAUUUUUUGCCAUGUCUUUGGUUCGACAAAAAUGUAGAUAAUUGAAUUUCCUUCCAAAUUAGCUUUUGUUGGGAAUUUAUGAUAAAGUAUGUGAAAGUUAUGCUUGGUCAAAAUUCAGUUGACUUUCCUUUAGAAAACCCUAAUUUAGCAAUUUUGACUUUUGAUGAUCUUUGAGAUUUUCUUGAUGAAUCAUGAUCAAACCUUGAUCAAAUGAUGAAUGUGACCUCAAAACCUUGAUGUUGACCAAAAAUCUUGAAGUUUGAUUGUAUAUUAACCAUAGUUGACUUUUGACCUAAUACAGUCGACUGUUGAUCAUCUGAGCAAUUGACUGAGUAACCUUGCAUUGUAAGGCUUGAAAUUUGACAUGGAGACAUAUGAGAUACUAUGAAGUCCACUAGAGGCCUUGGGAGUUCCAUUUCCUUGAGGGAAAUCAAAACCCUAGUUGGAGGUCCUUUGUUUAGGAGGAGUGUAGGUAUGUCCAACCUUUGGAGAUCCUAUGAGCUUGAGGGGACUGCUUGAGCCAACUUACCUUAAAUAUUGUGAGGGCAAAUUUGAGGGUGCAACAACUUCCCCUAUUCAAUCUUCUUAAACCUAAAGAAGUAGAUUGGCUUAUUCGCCUAUCGUGAUCUGAAGGUGGAAGGUGAUUGAACACUUAGGUGCCCUAAAAUUUGCACUCGCUGCUGCAGGAAGUAGUAUUGUUGGCUGUUUGAAUGGGCUUAAAGAUGCCAUCCAGGGAGUUGACAGAAUGUUGUUGGGGAUGGGCUUGUAGAUGUCAUCCAAAGGAGAUAUUUUUCAGAAUAUAUUGGGGAUAUGCUUUCCAGAAUGUAUAUCCGAAGUAGACGCUUUUCAGAAGAUUUGGAGGGACAUGCUUUCCAGAAUGUGAAUCUGAAGUAGAUGUCUUUCAGAAUGUAUGGGGGAUAUGCUUCCAGAAUGUAUAUUUGAUAGAGAGUUUCAGAAUAUUUGGAGGAUAUGCUUGAAGGAUAGAAAAACACUUAGAAAGGGGGGGUUUGAAUAAGUGUAGUCUAAAAACUUGAACGAUAAAAACAAUUUGCACAGUUAUUUUUAUCCUAGUUCGUUGUUAACUAAACUACUUCAGUCCACCCCCACGGAGUGAUUUACCUCACCUGAGGAUUUAAUCCACUAAUCGCAACAGAUUACAAUGGUUUUCCACUUAGCCCACGACUAAGUCUUCUAGAGUAUCCUGAUCACAACCUGAUCACUCUAGGAACAAAUGCUUAGACACAAGCUAAGACUUUCUUAGAGUAUCCUGACCACCACGUGAUCACUCUAAUUACAACUGCUUAGACACAAGCUAAGACUUCCUAGAGUAUCCUGAUCAACACUUGAUCACUCUAGUUACUUACAAAUUAAUGUAAUCAAAUAAGAGUUUUACAAUGCUUCUGAAAAGCUAUAAUCACAACAGUGAUAUUUCUCUUAAAGUUUAAGCUUAAUCUCACUAAUAUAUUACAACAGCAAUGUAGUGAGCUUUGAUGAAGAUGAAGUUUCUGAGCUUUGAGUUGAACAGCGUUUCAGCAAGUUUUUCAGAUUAAGUUCGUUCAGAAUUGGUAACCUUGCUUCUCAUCAGAACUUCAUACUUAUAGGCACUUGAGAAGAUGACCGUUGGGAGCAUUUAAUGCUUUGCGUAUUCCGUACAGCAUUGCAUUUAAUGUUUCACGCUUUUGUCAACUACCUCGAGCCUUGUUCACGCUGUGUCUACUGACGUUGCCUUUAAUAGCUUCCAACGUUCCUUUUGUCAGUCAGCGUAGCCUGCCACCUGUACUUUCUUCUGAUCUGAUGUUUGUGUAUACAACGUUUGAAUAUCAUCAGAGUCAAACAGCUUGGUGCAUAGCAUCUUCUUGUCUUUUGACCUUGAAGUGCUUAUGAGCGUGAUACCAUGAGAACUUCAGUGCUUCUGCUUCUGAACUCAAGUUCUUCUGAUGCUUCCAUAGACCCAUGUUCUGAUUCUGCCUUGACCAUCUUCUGAUGUCUUGCCAGACCAUGUUCUGAUGUUGCAUGCUGAACCUUCUGAGUCAAAGCCUCUGAGCGCUGAUUUGUGCAUACUCUUUAUAUAUUUCCUAAAAGGGAAAUUGCAAUGUAUUAGAGUACCACAUUAUCACACACAAAAUUCAUAUCUUUGUUAUCAUCAAAACUAAGAAUAUUGAUCAGAACAAAUCUUGUUCUAACAAUCUCCCCCUUUUUGAUGAUGACAAAAACAUAUAUAUAUGAUAUGAAUUUGCGAUCAGAAAGAGCAGAUGGCUAAAGAAAAUUUACCCAGCUAUAGCAUAAGCAUGUGAAUAUGUCUCCCCUUGAGAUUAACAAUCUCCCCCUGAGAUGAAUAAUCUCCCCCUGAAAUUAAUACUAGAAGAAUUUUAUAAAUAAAAGACUUCCCUGAGUAUUUCAGUAGAGACGUUCACAUAUGCUUGAUCUUCAGAACAUUCAUGACUUCUGAUUUCUGCUUCCAUAGGACAGCUUCAGAACAUUGAAUUUAUUUAGAUCCUCAGAACAUUCACAGCUUCUGAUUCCUGCUUCCAUCGGACAGCUUCAGAACUUGAAUUUCUUUGAUCUUCAGAACAUUCACAGCUUCUGACUUCUGCUUCCAUCGGACAGCUUCAGAACUUGAAUUUCUUUGAGCUUCAGAACAUUCACAGCUUCUGACUUCUGCUUCCAUCGGACAGCUUCAGAACUUGAAUUUCUUUGAUCUUCAGAACAUUCACAGCUUCUGAUUCCUGCUUCCAUUAGAACAGCUUCAGAGCUUGAAUUUCUUCUUACAUCACUUCAUGCUAGAUUGUAUCAGAACAUUGUUGAAUGUACCAGAGCAUCAUCAGAGCAUCUGUACAUCCUGAAAUGUUACAGAACAAAACUAAACGACAAAAGUCAGCAUGAAUGAGUCAGAACAUAGAGUAUGUUUUAUAACACAUAAUAUGUAUCAGAGCCAUAUGAUAUGUAUCAGAACACAUAGACAUAAUGUUUCAGAGCAUAUUCUAUCAUUAGAAUAUCUGAACAUUCUUCCUUCUUGCUUCUGAUCCUGAAGCUUCAUAGCACUCAGCUUGCUUCAAGAAUCCAAGAGCUUGAUUCUCUAUAGAAUUGCUUUUCCUCAUCUUGUUGCUUCUUGUGUUGAUCUUUUAAAGAGAAUCUUCAAUUCCUGCAACAACACAACUUAAAGCAUAGAACUUUGCAAGUUCUGUUAGUAAUGUGAGGCCUUUUUACCCGGUAACUGAUAAUAUUAAUCAGAUCAUUUAUCAUAUAUUUUCUCCCCCUUUUUGUCAUAACAUCAAAAAAGAAUAUAAAAGAUUCAGAUGUAGAAAACGACAAAAGAAAGAAACAGAAUAAUUUUUCAUUGAUUAAACAAACAGAAUUACAAAAGAUGUAUGCAGAACAAGCAGAUGCAACAAACAAAGAAAACUACAAGGACUUAAAGACUACAACCCUAGCUUAGACAUAAUCUUAGCUAACAUAUCAUGAAUCCCUGCGGUGCUCUCAGUUUGUCUAGCCCUGAAAUCUUGAAACUCUGCAUGCCUGUCCAGACGAGAAGCUUCACUGGAAGAGAAUACAUGAAUCCAAGGAGGAAGUGAGAGACAGUUCACAGGAAAAGAGCUAAUGUCUUAAACGGGGCUUUCCCUUAACAUAGAAGUCAAGAACAUGAUGCUUAACUUCAUCCAAUAUCUCAAGAAAGUCUUCUUCCUUUGGAUAAAUGUUGAUAACAACAUCACAGAAGAGAUAUGACUUGAGACUUCUUGGAAUCUUGAGAGAUCCGUCUUGAAAUCAAUGUCAGCGAUCCCCGAGAUUUGUUUCUCAACCUGGAACCAGACAACCCUUCCAACCGUUCUAUUCAAAUAGAUCGACCACCCUUGAGACUUCGUCUUCGUUUCUGGUUUGACACCAUAAGCACCCAAGUCAUCAGAGUCCACAGAAGAUUUACACAAAACUUCCAUUUCUGAUGGAGGAAUGGAGCAAGUUUUCAGUGGAGAAACCUCUUGUCUGUUGAAUGCUUGUUGGGAGGAACUUGAAAAAGGAUUCAUGGUGAAUGCUAGGUUGAAGAUGAAUAAACUAGGGUUUAUGCAAAAUGCAGAUAAAGAGAGAGAGAGAGAAAUAAAUAGAGGGAAAAGAAACGUUUGAAGAAUAUAAAAAAAAAUAAAAGGAAAUGAUGGAUAGCAUUUAAUGUUACGUGACGUGAGGAGAGAUAAUAAUGACAAAAGAUGUGAUUAGCACAGUUACCUAAGUAGGCGUCCCCUCAACUGCAUGCACGCUUGUCCAGAAAUAGUGAACACGUGUUUACCAUCUGGAUAGCCAGUUACACCUGUUUUACUUUUAAAGAGAUUCUGAGUUAACUUAGACAAUGAAACGUUAGUAAUAACAAAAUCACUACUUCUAAUUUAUUACAAUCAGAACUUCUUAUUAAAGACUAAUCCAAUCUCAUUUCAGAAGAUACUCAUACAUAAGAUCUUCUCAUCUUCUCAUCUUCUCAUUCUGGGCAUAAAUCCAUACUGAUAUUCUUCAGAAUGAACUUAAACCUAUCUUCAGCAAGGGGUUUUGUAAAGAUAUCAGCCCAUUAAUGGUCUGUAUCCACAAAGUUUAAAGAUAUAACACCCUUCUGAACAUAGUCCCUUAUGAAAUGAUGUUUAAUCUCAAUAUGUUUAGCUUUUGAAUGUAAGAUAGGAUUCUUAGAUAAACAUAUAGCAGAAGUAUUAUCACAAAAAAUAGGAAUGUUACUCUCAUAUAUCUGAUAAUCUUCUAGCUGACUUCUCAUCCAGAGCAUUUGUGUGCUACAACCAGCAGCAGCAACAUAUUCUGCUUCUGUUGUUGAGAGGGCAAUUGUAGCUUGCUUCUUGCUGUACCAUGAGAUCAGAUGACUUCCAAGAAAUUGACAACUUCCAGAAGUGCUUUUUCUUUCUAUUCUAUCCCCAGCAUAGUCAGCAUCACAGAAUCCUACUAAGUUGUAAUCUUUGGAUAUUCUGUAAACUAAACCAACAUUAGUAGUACCUUUCAGAUACCUCAGAAUUCUCUUAACCGCAGUUAAAUGAGAUUCUCUUGGAUCUGAUUGGAAUCUAGCACACAAACAAACACUGAAGAGAAUGUCAGGUCUAGAAGCAGUUAGGUAUAGAAGAGAUCCAAUCAUACCUCUGUACAACUUCUGAUCUACCUUCUUACUUACCUCGUCCUUACCUAGGACACAUGUUGGAUGCAUAGGAGUUUUGGCUUCUUUGCUUUCAGAAAGAUUAAACUUCUUCAGAAGUUCUUUCACAUACUUCGUUUGAUGAACAUAGGUUCCAUCAGAAGUUUGGUUGAUUUGAAUCCCAAGGAAAUACUUGAGUUCUCCCAUCAUGCUCAUUUCAAAUUCAGCCUGCAUAGACUCAGCAAACUCCUUUCCAAGUGUACCAUUAGAUGUUCCAAAGAUGAUAUCAUCAACAUAUAUUUGACAAAUUAAAAUAUCCUUUUUAAAGGUUUUACAAAAGAGAGUAGUGUCCACUUUUCCUCUAGUGAAACCAUUUUCUAGAAGGAAAGAACUUAAACGUUCAUACCAAGCUCUAGGAGCUUGCUUAAAUCCGUAUAAUGAUUUCUUUAACUUAAAAACAUGAUUUGGAGACUUGGAGUCUUCAAAACCAGGAGGUUGAUGGACAUAAACUUCUUCAUCUAUAUAACCAUUUAAGAAGGCACUCUUGACAUCCAUCUGAUAAAGAGUGAUGUUAUGUUGAGUGGAAAAAGAAAUUAAUAGACGAAUAGAUUCUAACCUGGCCACUGGUGCAAAGGUUUCUGUGUAGUCAAUCCCUUCUUGCUGACUAUAACCUUGAGCAACCAGUCUGGCUUUGUUUCUUACCACUUCUCCCUUCUCGCUUAGCUUGUUUCUGAACACCCACUUAGUGCCGAUGAUGUUAAAUCCUUUUGGUCUAGGAACCAAGUCCCAUACAUCAUUCCUUGUAAACUGAUUUAGUUCUUCUUGCAUGGCAAUUAUCCAGUCUGGAUCUUCUAGAGCUUGAUCAACAGAAGUUGGCUCGAUCAAAGAAACAAGACCUAAUUGACAUUGUGCAUUGUUCUUAAGGAAUGCCCUUGUUCUGAUGGGAUCAUCUUUCUUUCCAAGGAUCACAUCUUCUGAAUGAGCUGAUGCAAGUCUAGGUGAUCUUCUGACUGUUGGUUCUUCAGAAAUCCUGAGAUUCUCUAAAGAUGCAGCAACUUGAUCUUCUGAUCCAUUGCUUCUGAGACUUUCGGCUUCUGCAGCUUUGCUUCUUGGUUCUACAGCUUCUGAUAUAUCAAUAUCUAUAUCUGCAAAAUUCUCAAACU